ensembl:lncRNA
GAUGUUUUUGAACUGUGGUGUUAGAGAAGAUUCUUGAGAGUUUCUUGGACUGCAAGUAGAUCAAACCAGUCAAUCCUAAAGGAAAUCAGUCCUGAAUAUUCAUCGGAAGCACUGUUGCUGAAGCUCCAAUACUUUGGCCACCUGAUGCAAAGAACUGACUCAGGUGCAGUUUUGAAUGAAUUCCUCUGUGAAAGGCCUCAUUUUAUAGAAUUCAUGCCCUUCAUCCUUCAGAAAGCUUCCAAGUCACAUCCAUGGCCUUACUAAGCUCAAGUUUGAGUUAAUUCACUGUCACUAAACCAUUCGACUGCAAGCUCCAAGAGUGGUGUUAGAGAAGACUCCUGAGAGUCCUUUGGACAGCAAGGAGAUGAAACCCAUGAAUCUUAAGGGAAAUAAAUCCUGAAUACUCAUUGGAAGGACUCAUGCUAAAGCUGAAGCUGAACCUGAUGAAAACAGCUGACUCACUGGACAAGUCCUUGAUGAUGGG